rnacentral:tRNA from 1 species
GCUUUAAUAGUUUAUAAUAAAACCUUGGUUUUGUAAACCAAAAUAGAAUUAAUUCUUAAAGCU